CCUACGGGUGGCAGCAGUGAGGAAUAUUGGUCAAUGGGCGCGAGCCUGAACCAGCCAAGCCGCGUGAGGGAAGACGGUCCUAUGUAUUGUAAACCUCUUUUGUCGGGGAGCAAAUGACGCCACGCGUCGCAGUCCGCGAGUACCCGAAGAAAAAGCAUCGGCUAACUCCGUGCCAGCAGCCGCGGUAAUACGGAGGAUGCGAGCGUUAUCCGGAUUUAUUGGGUUUAAAGGGUGCGCAGGCGGAAGUUUAAGUCAGCGGUAAAAUCGAGGGGCUAAACCUCGUCGAGCCGUUGAAACUGGUAGUCUUGAGUGAGAGAGAAGUAUGCGGAAUGCGUGGUGUAGCGGUGAAAUGCAUAGAUAUCACGCAGAACUCCGAUUGCGAAGGCAGCAUGCCGGCGCUAAACUGACGCUGAGGCACGAAAGUGUGGGUAUCGAACAGGAUUAGAUACCCGAGUAGUC
rnacentral:rRNA from 1 species